UAGCCCUCCCUCUUAGGGUAGGAAGACGAGGGUUUUCCACAAAAAUGCCAUUUUCUGGGGAUUUUGUGCGAUUUUUUUGAGGAAGGAGGGGUAAAAGUACAAAAAAUGCAAGAGAUUCCGAUCGUGGAGCUCUUUCCAUGGUGUCUAUGCGAUUUCAAAUUCGUCAAGCAAUAGCAUUGCUCUCUCACUUGGGAUUCAGACUGUGCUGGGAGUGUCGUCUCUUCAAAUAUAGAAAACCCAGAGGAAAGCGGUGAAGAAGAAUUUUGAAGGUAAUGGAAUGCAAUCGAGGUGAGGCCUGUAGGGCGAAAGAAAUUGCUGAGAAGAAAUUUACAGCUAAAGACCUUAUGGGGGCGAAGAAAUUUGCCAUGAAAGCUCAGUCAUUAUACCCUGGGCUUGAUGGAAUACAACAAAUGUUAGCAACCCUCAAUGUGUAUAUUUCAGCUGAGAACAGAGUAAAUGGCCAAGCAGAUUGGUAUGGGAUACUUGAUGUGAAUCCAGAUGCAACUGAGGAUACAAUAAGGAAACAAUAUAGGAAGCUUGCACUCAUGCUUCACCCUGACAAAAACAAGUCUGUUGGGGCCGAUGGGGCAUUUAAGCUUAUUUCUGAGGCUUGGAGAUUGUUGUCUGAUAAGGCUAAGAAACUAGAAUAUGAUCGGAAGAGGAAUGAUCUGAAGGUUCCAUCUGCAAGCAGGGGGCCAUCAGCACCACCCCCAUCAAAUGGCUUUUAUAAUUCCACCAACAGCAAACGUCCAAACAUGAAGGUUCAAAACCGCAAAACCACCAAGGCAGGUUCCUCUCCUGCUGCUGCAAAUAAGCGUCCGCCAGCACCACCUCCAUCAAAUGGUUUUUAUAAUUCCACCACAAGUGAAGCUCCAAAUAUGAAAUUUCACAACACCAAAACCACCAAGGCACGUGCCUCUCCUGCUGCUUCAAAUAGCCGUCCACCAGCACCACCUCCAUCAAAUGAUUUUUAUAAUUCCACCAAAAGUGAAGCUCCAAAUACAAAGGUUCACUACAACAAAACCACCAAGGCAGGUGCCUCUCUUGCUCCUGCUUCAUCUCGUAAGCAGAAUCUCUCUACCUUUUGGACCCUGUGCUGUCGGUGCAUGAUGCAGCAUGAGUAUGUCAGAAUGUUUCUCAACAAGAAUCUGAUAUGCUUCAAUUGUAAUCUACCAUAUUUCGCCUUUGAAAUCCCAGCACCAUCUUUUGGUGGUUCUGAGGCAUCCAACCGGUGCAACCAUUCUCAGCAGCAACAGGACUUAAGUCACCAAGAAGCAAGCAAUAAUGUAUCUACUACAGGAAGAAACAAUUCUACCAUUUCAAAUGCAGGGUUAGGAGGAUUCGGCAGUUCUGAUGUGUCUGGUCCCACUAAUGUCCAGUGUGAUCGGUUCUCUACAACGGCUUUUGCUUCAUCAGGUCCUCAAUCUGAAAAUGUAGUUCCACAGGCCUCUGGGACAGUUAAGGGAGAACAAAUGGAGAGACAGGCAACAAAGGAGGUUUUGCAAAAGAGAAUGCAAUCUUCUAUGGAGACAUGUGGUGUCUCAUUAUCUGGCUGCUCUGGUGCUGUGAAGAGAAGAAAAGGUAUGGAGAAUCAUGACACAAUGAAUGAGAAAGCAAAUGAGGAGUUAAAGGAAAAAGAUCAUGUCAUGGCAAAUGGCGUCAGGCAGGACGGAUGCAAUAACGGCAAGCCACUGGACAUCAAUAAAGAAAGUCAUGCCAAUAUGUCUUCUCCUGGGGGUUCUGGUGGCAAUGUAGACAUGGAGCCUGUUAAACAACGGUCAAUUGAUGUUCCAGAUCCUGAUUUUCAUGAUUUUAAUAAGGAUAGAACAGAAAGCUGCUUUGGGGAUAAUCAGGUAUGGGCUGCAUAUGAUGAUAAUGAUAGCAUGCCCCGUUAUUAUGCCAUGAUUCACAGCGUGAUGUCUUUAAAUCCAUUAAAGAUGUGGAUUAGUUGGCUUAACUUAAAAGACGACAGUGAAGUGGGCUCAUUUAACUGGACCAGGUCGGGUUUCUCAAAAACAUGUGGAGAUUUCAGAAUGGGUAAAAACGAAAUCAGCAACACACUGAACUCUUUUUCACACAAGGUUCGAUGGACAAAAGGUUCACAGGGGGUUAUUCAGAUUUUUCCCAUGAAAGGGGAUGUCUGGGCUCUGUACAGGAACUGGUCUCCUGAAUGGAAUGAGCUGACUGCAGAUGAAAUCAUCCACAAGUAUGACAUGGUAGAAGUACUUGAAGAUUAUGACGAGGAACAAGGGGUAACAGUUGCUCCACUAGUCAAAGUUGCUGGCUUCAGGACUGUGUUCUGUAGGCAUUUUAACUCUAGGGAGAUCAGAAUGAUUCCAAGAGAAGAGAUGUUCCGUUUUUCUCAUCACGUCCCUUCACGCUUGCUUACCGGACAGGAAGCUUCAAAUGCUCCUAAGGGCUGUCACGAGCUGGACCCUGCAGCUACACCUCUCGAUCUUCUUGAGGUCAUAACAGAUGUUGAAGAAAAAGACAUUGUACAGCACGAACAAAGAGCUGAGAUAGGAAAGAUGGUAGAUGGUGUUGUAAAGUGUAAUCAUGAAAUGGAAGAAAAUUGCAGUGGUUCUAGGCAAGGGAUUUCUGGGAAUGUUAGGGAUACGGAGGAAAUAUAAGUUUUGGAGAAUAGCAUCUAAAGGAAAGAAGAGAAGCGCGCAAAUUCUACUGAAGAGAUGACAGUAAACUUCUGAAUUUUGUGUGAUCUGAUGUAGAUUAUUUUUGGUUCUUUUGUUAGCAGUGAUGUAGAACAGAUUCAUCAUUAUUAGUCUUCAUGUCUAUACUAUGUUGCAGAGAUGAAACUUCUUUAGAGUUUGAGGUGACUUGAACACUAAUUAAAAGCACGAUAUUAUAUUCCAUGGGACCAUACCAACAUAGCUUCUCUUCUCUGAAAGAUUUAGAUGAAGCUUGUUUUGAAUUUCAGACGACUUGAACACUAAAAGCACAAUAUUGUCUUCCAUGGUAUUGGUACCAUGCCAACAGAGUUUCUGUGAAAGAUUUAAAGGAUUUGGGCUGCGUGCCUUCAACCUCCACACGUCAUCUCGUUACUUGUUUCAGCCAAUCACGAACAAGUCCUUGAAGUACUGGGACUUACCAAUUAAACUCAGAUACUGUAUAUAUUUACGCGUGUGUGGGUGUGAAGAGGGAGCUUGAAGAUACAGAAAGAGAGAGCGAGCGCGCGCGAUCGAGGAUUGAGAUUGAGAAUUUGACAGAGCACAGCGAGCGUUGGUUUCCGGUGCCACCGUCACAAUGGUGAUUUUCUUGCUUUGUCUUCUCUUUAAUUUGUUUGUUUGAAUGGCGGAAGUUUGCUAUUUAUUUCACAUGAUGAUCGUAGAUCCGUCUGGAUCAUUGAUUACGAAGUCUGCAUUCUAAAGUAUGGUUUCCUGAUUCGAAGCUAAUUAAUGUUAGUGAUCCACUACUACUUUGAGACAGCGCUCUUCAGAAGAAUCAAUUCAAUCUUUGAGACCUAUAA